AGCAAACUAAAACAGCAUUCCAAAACAUCUUACGCUACUCCGGGUCCGAGCAAACCGAGUCUGCAAAUGGUUAAUACCGAACUAUCUGGUGGUUUGCUUGAUCCCGACGAUACUCCAUUCUUAAUCACCAAGAACAUAUUACGACAGCUUAUUCGUGGUACUUAUAUGGGUCCGAAGG